rnacentral:rRNA from 1 species
UAACACAUGCAAGUCGAGCGAGAAAGCACUUCGGUGUGAGUACAGCGGCGGACGGGUGAGUAACGCGUAAGAAUCUACCUGGUAGUGGGGGACAACUCGGGGAAACUCGAGCUAAUACCGCAUACGCCCUACGGGGGAAAGCGGGGGACCUUCGGGCCUCGCGCUAUCAGAUGAGCUUGCGUUGGAUUAGCUAGUUGGUGGGGUAAAGGCCUACCAAGGCUACGAUCCAUAGCUGGUCUGAGAGGAUGAUCAGCCACAUCGGGACUGAGACACGGCCCGAACUCCUACGGGAGGCAGCAGUGGGGAAUAUUGGACAAUGG